rnacentral:tRNA from 1 species
GGUUGUAACUCAGUGGUAGAGCACUUGCCUAGCAUGGGUGUGGUAUUGGAUUUGAUCCUCAGCACCACAUAAAAAUAAAUAAAUAAAAUAAAGGCAUUGUGUCCAUCUACAAUUAAAAAGAUUUAAAAUGUAGAAAGUGGGAAAAUUUUUAAAAAAGCAUUUAUUAUUAAAAAAAAUUUAAAAAGGACUGGGGAUGUAGCUUAGUAGCAGAGCAUUCCUGGGUUCAAUCCCCAGUACCA